GACAGAGGUGGCUAGCGUUGUUCGGUAUCACUGGGCUUAAAGCGUGUGUAGGCGGGAACGUAAGCAUUUUGUGAAAUCCCCCGGCUCAACCGGGGAAUUGCUUGAUGGACUGCGUUUCUUGAGGCAAGUAGGGGUGCGAGGAACUCUUGGUGGAGCGGUGGAAUGCGUAGAUAUCAAGAGGAACGCCGAUGGUGAAGACAUCGCACUAGGCUUGUCCUGACGCUGAGACACGAAAGCGUGGGGAGCGAACGGG
rnacentral:rRNA from 1 species